AAUUUCAGAAAUGACCUUGUUUGUGGAUGUAAUCUAUAUUACAUUAAUAAAUUAUUCUUUAUUAAUACCUUUACAAAAAAAGUUGAUUAAUACAUCUCUAUGAUAUAAUCAUGCAGUUUGACCACAAAAACCAAAUCCUAUCUAGCUAAGCACUUUGUACCAAAACCAAAAGAUAACAGCAAUAAGCAGCAACAUCUAUGACAUUCUAAGCACUGGGCUAAGCCCUUCAUUUCACUACAUCUUCAAAGAACUCUAAAAGAUAGGUGCUAAUAUUACUCUCAUGUUACAGGUGAGAAGACAAGAAAAUGACCUCAAAUCAUUGAACUAUGGAAUACCAACUUCAUGUACACUUGGCUUAUUCAGCACCCAUAAAAUUCAAUGGACCACCAUCCGGACAAAAGGAUAAAAACAGAACACAUCAAGAUAAUGAAUUUUCUUCAAACUACUGAGGUACAAUGAAAAAUGGAAAUAUUAUCUCAGAAAUUACAACAGAGGGAUGAAGAUAUAGCAUAUGCUGUACCUAAAAGAUACAUCAAAUGGGACAUUGGGAAUAUGGAUUGAUGAAAUUUAAUUUGCGAUUGUCCUAUAAUGCCUUUUCAUUACAGUACCACACAAAUUGAGGCAAUAAAUGUAUAUUUGAUCAAAAAAG
rnacentral:lncRNA from 1 species